GGUUAAGCGACUAAGCGUACACGGUGGAUGCCCUGGCAGUCAGAGGCGAUGAAGGACGUGCUAAUCUGCGAUAAGCGUCGGUAAGGUGAUAUGAACCGUUAUAACCGGCGAUUUCCGAAUGGGGAAACCCAGUGUGUUUCGACACACUAUCAUUAACUGAAUCCAUAGGUUAAUGAGGCGAACCGGGGGAACUGAAACAUCUAAGUACCCCGAGGAAAAGAAAUCAACCGAGAUUCCCCCAGUAGCGGCGAGCGAACGGGGAGCAGCCCAGAGCCUGAAUCAGUGUGUGUGUUAGUGGAAGCGUCUGGAAAGGCGCGCGAUACAGGGUGACAGCCCCGUACACAAAAAUGCACAUGCUGUGAGCUCGAUGAGUAGGGCGGGACACGUGGUAUCCUGUCUGAAUAUGGGGGGACCAUCCUCCAAGGCUAAAUACUCCUGACUGACCGAUAGUGAACCAGUACCGUGAGGGAAAGGCGAAAAGAACCCCGGCGAGGGGAGUGAAAAAGAACCUGAAACCGUGUACGUACAAGCAGUGGGAGCACGCUUAGGCGUGUGACUGCGUACCUUUUGUAUAAUGGGUCAGCGACUUAUAUUCUGUAGCAAGGUUAACCGAAUAGGGGAGCCGAAGGGAAACCGAGUCUUAACUGGGCGUUAAGUUGCAGGGUAUAGACCCGAAACCCGGUGAUCUAGCCAUGGGCAGGUUGAAGGUUGGGUAACACUAACUGGAGGACCGAACCGACUAAUGUUGAAAAAUUAGCGGAUGACUUGUGGCUGGGGGUGAAAGGCCAAUCAAACCGGGAGAUAGCUGGUUCUCCCCGAAAGCUAUUUAGGUAGCGCCUCGUGAAUUCAUCUCCGGGGGUAGAGCACUGUUUCGGCAAGGGGGUCAUCCCGACUUACCAACCCGAUGCAAACUGCGAAUACCGGAGAAUGUUAUCACGGGAGACACACGGCGGGUGCUAACGUCCGUCGUGAAGAGGGAAACAACCCAGACCGCCAGCUAAGGUCCCAAAGUCAUGGUUAAGUGGGAAACGAUGUGGGAAGGCCCAGACAGCCAGGAUGUUGGCUUAGAAGCAGCCAUCAUUUAAAGAAAGCGUAAUAGCUCACUGGUCGAGUCGGCCUGCGCGGAAGAUGUAACGGGGCUAAACCAUGCACCGAAGCUGCGGCAGCGACACUAUGUGUUGUUGGGUAGGGGAGCGUUCUGUAAGCCUGUGAAGGUGGCCUGUGAGGGUUGCUGGAGGUAUCAGAAGUGCGAAUGCUGACAUAAGUAACGAUAAAGCGGGUGAAAAGCCCGCUCGCCGGAAGACCAAGGGUUCCUGUCCAACGUUAAUCGGGGCAGGGUGAGUCGACCCCUAAGGCGAGGCCGAAAGGCGUAGUCGAUGGGAAACAGGUUAAUAUUCCUGUACUUGGUGUUACUGCGAAGGGGGGACGGAGAAGGCUAUGUUGGCCGGGCGACGGUUGUCCCGGUUUAAGCGUGUAGGCUGGUUUUCCAGGCAAAUCCGGAAAAUCAAGGCUGAGGCGUGAUGACGAGGCACUACGGUGCUGAAGCGACAAAUGCCCUGCUUCCAGGAAAAGCCUCUAAGCAUCAGGUAACAUCAAAUCGUACCCCAAACCGACACAGGUGGUCAGGUAGAGAAUACCAAGGCGCUUGAGAGAACUCGGGUGAAGGAACUAGGCAAAAUGGUGCCGUAACUUCGGGAGAAGGCACGCUGAUAUGUAGGUGAAGCGACUUGCUCGUGGAGCUGAAAUCAGUCGAAGAUACCAGCUGGCUGCAACUGUUUAUUAAAAACACAGCACUGUGCAAACACGAAAGUGGACGUAUACGGUGUGACGCCUGCCCGGUGCCGGAAGGUUAAUUGAUGGGGUCAGCGCAAGCGAAGCUCUUGAUCGAAGCCCCGGUAAACGGCGGCCGUAACUAUAACGGUCCUAAGGUAGCGAAAUUCCUUGUCGGGUAAGUUCCGACCUGCACGAAUGGCGUAAUGAUGGCCAGGCUGUCUCCACCCGAGACUCAGUGAAAUUGAACUCGCUGUGAAGAUGCAGUGUACCCGCGGCAAGACGGAAAGACCCCGUGAACCUUUACUAUAGCUUGACACUGAACAUUGAGCCUUGAUGUGUAGGAUAGGUGGGAGGCUUUGAAGUGUGGACGCCAGUCUGCAUGGAGCCGACCUUGAAAUACCACCCUUUAAUGUUUGAUGUUCUAACGUUGACCCGUAAUCCGGGUUGCGGACAGUGUCUGGUGGGUAGUUUGACUGGGGCGGUCUCCUCCUAAAGAGUAACGGAGGAGCACGAAGGUUGGCUAAUCCUGGUCGGACAUCAGGAGGUUAGUGCAAUGGCAUAAGCCAGCUUGACUGCGAGCGUGACGGCGCGAGCAGGUGCGAAAGCAGGUCAUAGUGAUCCGGUGGUUCUGAAUGGAAGGGCCAUCGCUCAACGGAUAAAAGGUACUCCGGGGAUAACAGGCUGAUACCGCCCAAGAGUUCAUAUCGACGGCGGUGUUUGGCACCUCGAUGUCGGCUCAUCACAUCCUGGGGCUGAAGUAGGUCCCAAGGGUAUGGCUGUUCGCCAUUUAAAGUGGUACGCGAGCUGGGUUUAGAACGUCGUGAGACAGUUCGGUCCCUAUCUGCCGUGGGCGCUGGAGAACUGAGGGGGGCUGCUCCUAGUACGAGAGGACCGGAGUGGACGCAUCACUGGUGUUCGGGUUGUCAUGCCAAUGGCACUGCCCGGUAGCUAAAUGCGGAAGAGAUAAGUGCUGAAAGCAUCUAAGCACGAAACUUGCCCCGAGAUGAGUUCUCCCUGACUCCUUGAGAGUCCUGAAGGAACGUUGAAGACGACGACGUUGAUAGGCCGGGUGUGUAAGCGCAGCGAUGCGUUGAGCUAACCGGUACUAAUGAACCGUGAGGCUUAACCUU
rnacentral:rRNA from 1 species